UGGGGAAUAUUGCGCAAUGGCCGCAAGGCUGACGCAGCGACGCCGCGUGAGGGAUGACGGCCUUCGGGUUGUAAACCUCUGUUGCCCGGGACGAAUCGCCCCAUGCGUGGGGUUUGACGGUACCGGGUGAGGAAGCACCGGCUAACUCCGUGCCAGCAGCCGCGGUAAUACGGAGGGUGCGAGCGUUGUCCGGAAUCACUGGGCGUAAAGGGCGCGUAGGCGGUGGGGUCAGCGUGUGGUGAAAGUCCGGGGCUCAACCCCGGAUCGGCCGUGCGAACUGCCCCACUUGAGCACUGUAGAGGCAGGUGGAAUUCCGGGUGUAGCGGUGGAAUGCGUAGAGAUCCGGAAGAACACCAGAGGCGAAGGCGGCCUGCUGGGCAGUGGCUGACGCUGAGGCGCGACAGCGUGGGGAGCAAACAGG
rnacentral:rRNA from 1 species